GACGAACGCUGGCGGCGUGCUUAACACAUGCAAGUCGAACGUGAUUUUUGUGGAAAUUCUUUCGGGAAUGGACAUGAAAUGAAAGUGGCGAACGGGUGAGUAACACUUGAGCAACCUACCUUACACAGGGGGAUAGCCGUUGGACACGACGAUUAAUACCGCAUGAGACCACAGAAUCGCAUGAUAUAGGGGUCAAAGAUUUAUCGGUGUAAGAAGGGCUCGCGUCUGAUUAGCUAGUUGGAAGGGUAAAGGCCUACCAAGGCGACGAUCAGUAGCCGGUCUGAGAGGAUGAACGGCCACAUUGGAACUGAGACACGGUCCAAACUCCUACGGGAGGCAGCAGUGGGGAAUAUUGCAAAAUGGGGGGAACCCUGAUGCAGCGACGCCGCGUGAGCGAAGAAGGUUUUCGAAUCGUAAAGCUCUGUACUAUGAGAAGAUAAUGACGGUAUCAUAGGAGGAAGCCCCGGCUAAAUACGUG
rnacentral:rRNA from 1 species